rnacentral:rRNA from 1 species
GACGAACGCUGGCGGCGUGCCUAAUACAUGCAAGUCGAACGCAGUGGGGACGGGUGAGUAACACGUGGGUAACCUCCCAUCAAAGGGGAUAACACUUGGAAACAGGUGCUAAACCGAUACUGAUGGAUGAACCCGCGGUGCAUUAGCUAGUUGGUGGGGUAACGGCUCACCAAGGCCACGAUGCAUACCUGGUCGUAGAGGGGGACGGGCCACACUGUGACUGAGACACGUCCCAGCCUCCUACGGGAGGCAGCAGUAGGGAAUAUGCGGCAAUGGGCGAAAGACUGAUGCAGCCAUGCCGCGUGAAUGAAGAAUGUUUUCGGGUCGUAAAGCUCUUUCAGCAGGGAAGCGUUAUCUACCGAAAAAGCUACGGCUAACUACGUGCCAGCAGCCGCGGUAAUUC